rnacentral:rRNA from 1 species
UACGUAGGGUGCGAGCGUUAAUCGGAAUUACUGGGCGUAAAGAGUGUGUAGGCGGUGCUCUAAGUUCGGUGUGAAAUCUCCCGGCUUAACUGGGAGGGUGCGCCGGAAACUGGAGUGCUCGAGCGUGGGAGAGGAAAGCGGAAUUCCUGGUGUAGCGGUGAAAUGCGUAGAUAUCAGGAGUAACACCUGCGGUGUAGACGGCUUUCUGGACCAUUGCUGACGCUGAGACACGAAAGCGUGGGUAGCAAACAGG